rnacentral:rRNA from 1 species
UACAGAGGGUGCGAGCGUUAAUCGGAAUUACUGGGCGUAAAGCGUGCGCAGGCGGUUAUGUAAGACAGGUGUGAAAUCCCCGGGCUUAACCUGGGAACUGCAUUUGUGACUGCAUAGCUAGAGUACGGUAGAGGGGGAUGGAAUUCCGCGUGUAGCAGUGAAAUGCGUAGAUAUCUGGAGGAACACCGGUGGCGAAGGCGGCAUCCUGGACCAACACUGACGCUGAGAUACGAAAGCGUGGGGAUCAAACAGG